rnacentral:tRNA from 1 species
GGUUCCAUAGUGUAGCGGUUAGCACAUCUGCUUUACACACGGAAGGCCCUGGGUUCACGUCCCAGUGGAUCCA